CGACGAAUCUUCCGCAAUGGGCGAAAGCCUGACGGAGCGAUGCCGCGUGUGGGAUGAAGCGCCUUUGGUGUGUAAACCACUGUCAGGAGAUAGAAACACUGAUCAUCUCCAGAGGAAGGGGCGACUAACUCUGUGCCAGCAGUCGCGGUAAUACAGAGGCCCCGAGCGUUAAUCGGAAUCACUGGGCUUAAAGGGUGCGUAGGCGGACUCGUAAGUGUCGUGUGAAAGCCCACUGCUUGACGGUGGAACCGCACGGCAAACUGCAAGUCUCGAGGAAGGUAGAGGCCGGUAGAACGAUUGGUGGAGCGGUGGAAUGCGUAGAUAUCAAUCGGAACACCUGAGGUGAAGACGGGUUGCUGGGCUGACACUGACGCUGAGGCGCGAAAGCCAGGGGAGCAAACGGGAUUAGAUACCCAAGUAGUCCCUGAGCGGGCUGGCAAGGCGCAU
rnacentral:rRNA from 1 species